rnacentral:rRNA from 1 species
UACAGAGACUCCAAGCGUUAUUCGGAUUCACUGGGCGUAAAGGGUGCGCAGGCGGCCAAGUGUGUCUAGGGUGAAAUCCUGCAGCUUAACUGUAGAAUUGCCUUAGAAACUACUUGGCUAGAGUAUCGGAGAGGCAAGCGGAAUUCCAGGUGUAGCAGUGAAAUGCGUAGAUAUCUGGAGGAACACCGAAGGCGAAGGCAGCUUGCUGGACGAUUACUGACGCUCAGGCACGAAAGCAUGGGGAGCGAAAGGG